rnacentral:rRNA from 1 species
UACGGGGGGGGCAAGCGUUGUUCGGAAUUACUGGGCGUAAAGGGCGCGUAGGCGGCCAGCACAAGUCAGUUGUGAAAUCUCCGAGCUUAACUCGGAAAGGUCAACUGAUACUGUGCGGCUAGAGUGCAGAAGGGGCAACUGGAAUUCUUGGUGUAGCGGUGAAAUGCGUAGAUAUCAAGAGGAACACCUGCGGCGAAGGCGGGUUGCUGGGCUGACACUGACGCUGAUGCGCGAAAGCCAGGGGAGCGAACGGG